GACAGAGGUGGCUAGCGUUGUUCGGAUUUAUUGGGCGUAAAGCGCACGCAGGCGGUUUGGUAAGUCAGGGGUGAAAGACCACAGCUUAACUGUGGCAUUGCCUUUGAUACUGCCUUUCUUGAGUAGAGUAGGGGGAAGCGGAAUUCCGAGUGUAGAGGUGAAAUUCGUAGAUAUUCGGAGGAACACCGGUGGCGAAGGCGGCUUCCUGGACUCUAACUGACGCUCAUGUGCGAAAGCGUGGGGAGCAAACAGG
rnacentral:rRNA from 1 species